rnacentral:rRNA from 1 species
GGGUGCAAUCAUACCAGCACUAAUGCACCAGAUCCCAUCAGAACUCCGCAGUUAAGCGCGCUUGGGCAAGAGUAGUACUAGGUUGGGUGGCCUCCUAGGAAGUCCUCGUGUUGCACCCC